ensembl:lncRNA
CUCGUCUCUGGUGACAGUCCCCUGCUCCAGCAGCUCCCCUCGGGCCCUGCUCGUCCAGCGUCACUCGUGCUCAUCCAAAAGCGAUAGUUCUGGGAGAAAUAUCUUUUCUGGUCAAAGCGUUCCCAGAUUAACUCUGUCCCGGUUAAUCCCGAAUCAAGCGCUCUGGUCUCCGACUGCAGCUCGUUUAUAGCACGGAAACAAAAGAGGUGGGAGAAAGCCGAAGCGGCAGAGCCCCCUCGCUGGACGCGACACCGCGCCGUCACGUGCCGUUGUUUUCCCUCUAGGCCGUUCCAAGUCAUUAAGAAAAAUGGCAAAAUUACUUUUUUCUAGCUCUUCGUUAUCGUCGUUGUUGUCCCAGGUUAAUUUUUUUUUUGAACUUUCAGUCUGUUUUAGGCGACCUUCUCUGACUCUCUGAGGGGCCAAGGCUUCGGUAGCUGCUCCUUUCCUCGGCGGGCGGCUGCGAAGCGAAGAGCCGCCCGGCAGCGGCGCGGCUUUUCGAGGUAGCGGCUCUGGGUUUCAAGUGCAUCCAAAGCUUCGUUUGGAAGCGCUGCCAGGGCAGAAGCACCGUUGUUUCCGUGGGACCUUGCUGAUGAGCUCUCGGGCUGGUCCUGGCUUACAGCCUCUGCGUACCCCUGGCCAACAUCCGAGCCCCUUGGGUCUUCGCUGCGCUGCCGGCACGGCGUGGCGCCUAGGACUGUUGUCUGCUCCCUGCAGAUAAAGCCAAUGACUGUUCCUGAUGAAGCAGCCCUUUCUGCUCCCCGGAGUGAGAGAAGUGCUAGCCAGUUACACUUUCAUCUAACCUAACAUCCUCAACACCAGCACUGAGGAUCGAAGUGCAGAAGGAGACCAGGAGAAACAGAGGGAAAAAAUGUGCAAGCUCCUAGGAAAAGCUCCAUUGGCAACAGAGGCAUUUUUAAGGGUUGUGUGGCUGAGAGAGACAGGAAAAAAUGAUUUCCAUGAAUAAGCAUUUGAUGAUCAUUAUGUGAAGGUGACAUGGCAUGUCUGGCAUUCCCAGCGCAAAGUGCAACUCAUUUCCAAGCUCCUGACAAUCAGACAUCGUGACUUACCAUCGAAGCAGGGAACCGUCAAUGUCCCACUACGCCUAGAUGGCCAAUGCUCUAAUAACCCUCCUUAAUUGCUGUCUCAGCAGCAGCCUGCACCGACUGGUGUGACAGAUGCUUCAGAGCCGAUCUGGACUGUAAUCAUUGCAAGCCUUUUCCAGUGAUAUGUAUGGGAGCUUUUGGGGGUGAGACUUGCUGGAUUUGCCUCUUCCACUCCAGGGGUUUGCUGCAGGGGCACAACCUGUAAGGGAAGUUUGCUCCAGCACCAUAGUGUGGACUGUACAGAGGUCCCUGCACUGGUCCACACUAACGCACAGAGGCGCUUGCUUUCGGUGUCAGCUGCAAUGGCAGGCAGCAGUCCAAGCUCUUCAGCAAAUUGAUCAAAAGCUCUCAAGCAUUUGUUUGCACUGAGCAUUAGUGCUCCAUCCGACAGGAUCCAUCAGGAAUUUGCAGGUGUUGACAGUGCUCAGCACCUUACAGGAAAAGGCCUUCAAAAGGCAAGGAAAAAUAAAGCAAAAAAUGGUUCUCA